rnacentral:rRNA from 1 species
UAGCCGACGUUGUAGAGACUCGAUCGGCCACAUUGGGACUGAGACACGGCCCAAACUCCUACGGGAGGCAGCAGUAGGGAAUCUUCCACAAUGGACGCAAGUCUGAUGGAGCAACGCCGCGUGAGUGAAGAAGGGUUUCGGCUCGUAAAGCUCUGUUGUUGGUGAAGAAGGACAGGGGGUAGUAACUGACCUUUGUUUGACGGUAAUCAAUUAGAAAGUCACGGGCUAACUACGUGCCAGCAGCCGCGGUAAAU